GCCGGGCCGGGGCAGGGCAGGGCAGAGCAAGGCGUGCCGUGCCGUGCCGUGCCGCGCCGGGCGGAGGGGGCGGCCCGGAGGCCCCAGGCCCCUCAGCGCAGCGGCAGGCCUCAGGCCUCAGGCCUAGGCCGGGCCCCCAACCCGCGGCGGCGGGAGGGAGCGCGGGCGCGCGGCAGCGAGUCCUCGAGGAGCGCGGCCGCCUCCGCCGCGGCCCCACGGCGCUAGGAACGGGGGAGCGAGGGGGUACCGGUCCGGGUCGCCCGCCGUCCCCCCGCGGGCGGUGGGUCGCCCAUCCGUGAGUGCCCUUGUCCCCGUCCUCAGUGGUAGCUACCCCCCCCGGGGUGAGGGGAGGGGGUGCGGGCCCGCCGCUGGCGAGGCGGGGGCAGCGAGGAGCGGGAGCGACGCCGGGCUGACAUGGAAGCCGGGCGCUGAGGCCUUGUGUGACAGGGAGGGCGGCGGCGGCGGCACCCGGCCGCCGUGCAGGGCCGGGUUUUGUCACUCCCCUAGUCCCCGAAAUAUCCCCCCCCCCCCCCCGCCCCAGAUAGCUGCCAGAGCGGGGCGUGCGCUGGCUCCCUCAUAAAUUACCCGUGGCUUUGUGUCCCACCUAACUCGGCAGUAACGAAGGCCGCAGUCAGGCCGGUUAAAAAAUCAAAAAAGCAGGCAGAAGAAGCAGGUGAUGCGGCCGCUGAAAGGAGGAGAGGCCGGGAAUUGGGGCCAGCGCGGUGAUCAGUGUGGCAAAGGCCCUGAGAGGAAAAAGGAAGCUGGUUUGGCAGAGCGGGCGCCGGUGGAGGGAUGAAGAUCCUAACACAGUCACGUCGGCUGUCAGAAGCCACGCGAGGACCUGAACUCCUCCAAGGGAACUCUUGUAAUUUUGGAACUACAGUAAUGUUCUUCACCGUGGUCUUCACAAGCUCUCCAAACAUCUUUAUUCUCUACCAAGAUGCUGGAUGGCAGUGAACACAUGUAUGCUUGAGGUUUUGCACACUGCAAGGGCAGAAUUCACAAGGCGAGAAAAACCAAGUAUACCAAGUAUUGUGUAAGGCUCAGUUUUCCAGCGCAGCAAAGAUAAAGUUUCUUUCAAUCCUCAAGCUGUUUCCCACAACCAUUCUGGGGAUCACCUCCACAGCCUGCUCUGAGUUAUGGGAGAUUCUGGGGAAAGGUCAUUUCUAGAUUUCAUCCUGCACCAAGCCUCCAUGGUUCAUGGGCCUAACAUCUAGUGAUCUCUCUACCAAUUAGCUGAUCCACUGUUUCAACCAUCACAGGGCAGGAGGUGAGGCAGGGCAGGAGUGAGGGAUUUCCACCCGCCCCUCCUCCCCAAGGUUAAGCAUCUAACUUUAAUUUAACAUCCUAGUGGGGCACAGCCCAAGAUAAGAGUUAGAGGGGAUGCUGAUGGCCAGCCUAGUGAUAGUGUUUGCAUUUUCAUAAGUGAUCCUGGUGUUGGAGGGUGUGUUCCCCAGUCACAUGAGGAAACAACAAAGAAAAUAUAUAUUUGCAAGGGUCAGGGGGAGGUCAGCGGGAUGAGCAUUGCAAUUAUUUGCUAAUAUGGGCCUCCUAAUGUUCUCUCUAUACUGGAGAAUAUGGGCACUAAUAAGCUGGGAGAAGAUAGCCAUGAGCCUGUGGAUUUAGAAAUACACCAAAACACUUUCUGCCUUUUAAACUGUAUUUCAAAUUCCCUGCAAACAGUCUAAAAUUUCACUGUCAUGGGUAUUUAUGGGAUGGUUAGGGCACAAUAAUUCACGUUUUGAAGGGUGCUGUCUAUAUGUACUUGAGAUAUUGCUGUCAUAUAUCCAGUCUAAUCCACUUCUCUCACUGCCAGGUACAUAAGGCAGAUGUCUGUCAUCACCAACCAGUUCUAUCCCAAACCAGUCCCUUGAAGAUGUUCAAGUUGCUGACUUGCGAUGUUGCUGCUUUAGUCAUUAUUGUGUUUCCUCACGUUCCUCAGGGUCACCGUCUCUUCUUUCCUUUUCAUGUCAAAACAGGGCUUGUUGAAGGACCUGGUUAUCUGGCACUCUCAAAACAUGGCCAAGGUCAAUCUGUUUUCUCCAUUGUACUGUUUGUACAGCUGUGGGUAAUCAUGCAGGCUCCGAAAUCUCAGCAUUCCUUUUGCUCUCUGGCUGCUUUAUGAUCACUGUCCCCCACAGGCAUCCGCACUGAAAGCACUUUGAUUUCUGGGAAAUAGAUAUGUUCUUUCGAGACUUUAACUUGUACAGGUGUAUGUGUAGUGUAUUUUUAAUAACGGUGGCUCAAAAGAGCUUACAAGGAGGCUUAGCAUUGACACUGAUGACUUCCAUAUGGGAUGUAUUCUUCUCAUGGAAAUAAAGAAAAAAUUCUACUCAUUUUGAUAUCAUGUUCUUAGACCAGUGAGUAGAGAUGUGCAUGACAUCUAUAGGUAUCCUCAAAGGCCCCCUGCUUCAAGCUUACUCUAUAUUGUUUAUUACCCUUACGUAACCUGUGGUAAAGCUAGAAACCAUUAAUAAAGACAUUUAGCAUUAAAAAAGCAUUAGGAUUAAUGUUUCAGUUAUUACAGUUUUCCAAGUGAGUAUUGAUUCUCUGGGAUUUGUUGAUAUACAUAGAUUUUCCUGGAGGACAGGAAAACAAAAACAGCCUGACUUUUUAAAGCUGAAGUUAUAAAUGCAUAUCAAACCUUUAUUAGUUUGCUCUCUGUGGCCUUUGCACUGUGACAGAACUAUAAAAUGUUUAUCUGUAAUGAGCACCGUUUUAUUAUGAUUUCAGUUUUACACAUUGGAGCUCAUCACACAGCACAGCAGUCAGGGAGAGCAGGGCCAGAAUUCUGGAGACACCUGAUCAAGUAACAGACACAGCAUUGGCAUGUGUACAGUAGCUUCAGCAAGGAGGUUUUCAGCCUUACCAUCCUCACCAUCUUCAAAGACAUCACCCAUGACACAAAAUUACAUUCUUAGACUGACACCUCUUGACAGAGUCUUCUCCAGCUCAUUUUCAAUGGAUAAAGGUCUGUAGCAGUACUGUACUUCAUCUACUUCUCUUUAAUUCUUUGUUUUGAUGCAGCUCCUAUACAGAGACCCUUUCCUGAGGCCCCACAUAAACCUUCUGGUUUCUGUGCCUGGACCAACACAUUUUUAUUUUUCUGCAGAGUAUGAGGAAGGCUCAUGAGCUCCCUGUGGCACAGAGGUGUCAGGUAAAGUCUGUUAGUGUGAUGCCAAGACAUUGUUCCUAGAGCACCUGGGUACAAAGAGGCAGAACUAACUUUGUAUUAGCAUUUAAACAACAAGGUGAAGCCUGGUCAGUGCCAGUCACCGUGACCCUGUGGAGCAGAAGAAACUUGGAUGAAAGUAGCAGCUAGGUGUGGGAAGGUAUAAAGCUGUGUGGGAGGGUAGAUGGAAGACCAUCAACACAGUUUGAAGCAAAGGCUUCUUCAAAUCUGUAACCAGUACCCCUUGCUCCUGACACCUUGUAAUACAGUUACCAUAACUAAUGUAGUUUUAUAAGGCAAAUGGCCAUUCUCUGUGACCAAGUUGGUCAGGUAUCAGUCCCCUUUCCCCUCCUCAUCAGGCCUGGAAGGUCCUGCACACCAGGCAGAUUUCUUCUCCCCCUCCCUAUCAGCCUCAAGGUUCCCGGGCACCGGGCUGACCCCUCCUUACCAGCCUUGAAGGUCCCAGGGACCCAGCCAGCCGGGCUGUGAUGACCCCAGCACAGAACCAGGAAGCACAGCAGCUCUCUAUAUAAAAUCAAGCAGUUACAACUCCCAAGUGGGACUUGGACUACAACUGCUGCUGGGCAGCGAAACUCAUGAUCCCUUAGCGGUCAGGGAUGCCUCCACCAUCGUCUGCUUCCUCCAAGGACUGAGUGACUCAUAUUCUUUUACAUGUUUUGAGUCUAUAUUAUGAUUGCUAUAUUGGUACUGCAAGCCAAGUAUUAAGAUCUGACCCGAGCUGCAGACGGUCCAAGUGAUUAGGAACUGUAAACUAAUCUGUGCUACAAAUUUUGUGCUAUGCUACUUGCAAAAUUGUGCUACACUGAUUCUGACUAUAAAAAUCCUGUGCUAUUCUGGUCAUAAAAUUGUAUGUUAUGCUGAUCAUAAAAUUUUGUUUAAAAAAUAAAGCUUUAAUUGUAACUACAA